rnacentral:rRNA from 1 species
UACGUAGGGUGCAAGCGUUGUCCGGAAUUAUUGGGCGUAAAAGAAGCGUGAGAGCGGCUUGUCGCGUCGGCUGUGAAAACCUGGGGCUCAACCCCGGGCCUGCAGCCGAUACGGGCAAGCUAGAAUUCGGUAGGGGAGACUGGAAUUCCUGGUGUAGCGGUGAAAUGCGCAGAUAUCAGGAGGAACACCGGUGGCGAAGGCGGGUCUCUGGGCCGACACUGACACUGAGAGACGAAAGCUAGGGGAGCGAAUGGG